CCAAUCGAACUCGGAGAUAGCUGGUUCUCCCCGAAAUAGCUUUAGGGCUAGCCUCGAUUUAGAUUACCGGGGGUAGAGCACUGAAUGGGCUAGGGGGCCACAAAGCUUACCGAACCCUAUCAAACUUCGAAUACCGGAUAAUUGAUGAUCGGGAGUCAGACAGUGUGAGAUAAGUUUCAUUGUCGAAAGGGAAACAGCCCAGAUCUACGACUAAGGUCCCAAAGUUCAAGUUAAGUGGAAAAGGAUGUGCAAUUGCGUAGACAACCAGGAUGUUGGCUUAGUAGCAGCCAUUCAUUCAAAGAGUGCGUAAUAGCUCACUGGUCGAGUGAUUGUGCGCCGAAAAUGUAACGGGGCUAAACUUGACACCGAAGUCUAGGCAGAAGGAAACUUCUGGGUAGGGGAGCAACGUGUACGGGCAGAAGCAGAAGCGGAAGCGACUGUGGACUGUACAGGAGAGAGAAUGCCGGCAUGAGUAGCGAGAGCAAAGUGAGAAUCUUUGCCGUCGAAAGCCUAAGGUUUCCUGAGGAAGGCUCGUCCUCUCAGGGUAAGUCGGGACCUAAGCCGAGGACAAUAGUCGUAGGCGAUGGACAAUCGGUUAAUAUUCCGAUACCGCCGAGCAACCGGAUGCAGUGACACAGAAGGAUAGGCAGAGCGUGGCGAUGGUAGACCACGUCCAAGCAGUGAGGCUGUUGUGUAGUGAAGUACGCACAACGGAAGGCUGGGCUGUGAUGGGGAACGAUUACGAUCGGUAAGCUGCUGAAUUCACGCUGGCGAGAAAAGCUGCUACGAAGCGAAGGCGCCCGUACCGCAAACCGACACAGGUAGGCGAGGAGAGAAUCCUAAGACGAACGGGAGAACCCUUGUUAAGGAACUCGGCAAAAUGACCCCGUAACUUCGGGAGAAGGGGUGCCGAUGGAAACAUCGGUCGCAGAGAAAAGGCUCAAGCGACUGUUUAGCAAAAACACAGGUAUCUGCGAAAGCGAGAGCUGACGUAUAGGUGCUGACGCCUGCCCGGUGCUGGAAGGUUAAGGGGAAGUGUUAGGGGAAACCCGAAGCAGAGAACCGAAGCCCCAGUAAACGGCGGCCGUAACUAUAACGGUCCUAAGGUAGCGAAAUUCCUUGUCGGGUAAGUUCCGACCCGCACGAAUGGUGUAACGAUUUGGGUACUGUCUCAACAAGGGACCCGGCGAAAUUGUAGUAUGUGUGAAGAUGCACAUUACCCGCGAUAGGACGGAAAGACCCCGUAGAGCUUUACUGUAGUUUAACAUUGGAUUCCGGUAACAUAUGCACAGGAUAGGUGGGAGGCGGAGAAGCAGUGAUUUCGGUUGCUGCAGAGCCGACGUUGGGAUACCACUCUUGUGUUACUGGGGUUCUAACCUGUGGCCGUGAUCCGGCACAGGAACAGUGUUAGAUGGGCAGUUUGACUGGGGCGGUCGCCUCCAAAAGAGUAACGGAGGCGUCCAAAGGUUCCCUCAGAAUGGUUGGAAACCAUUCGAAGAGUACAAAGGCAGAAGGGAGCCUGACUGCGAGACCGACAGGUCGAGCAGGGACGAAAGUCGGGCUUAGUGAUCCGGCGGUAUAGAGUGGAAUUGCCGUCGCUCAACGGAUAAAAGCUACCUCGGGGAUAACAGGCUUAUCUCCCCCAAGAGUCCACAUCGACGGGGAGGUUUGGCACCUCGAUGUCGGCUCAUCGCAUCCUGGGGCUGUAUUCGGUCCCAAGGGUUUGGCUGUUCGCCAAUUAAAGCGGCACGCGAGCUGGGUUCAGAACGUCGUGAGACAGUUCGGUCCCUAUCCAUCGUGGGCGCAGGAGAUUUGAGAAGAGCUGUCCUCAGUACGAGAGGACCGGGAUGGACGCACCAAGGGUGUAUCAGUUGUCACGCCAGUGGCACAGCUGGGUAGCCAAGUGCGGAUCGGAUAAACGCUGAAGGCAUCUAAGCGUGAAGCCGACUUCAAGAUAAGAUCUCCCAUCCGCAAGGAGUAAGGCCCCAUGUAGACCACAUGGUUGAUAGGUCGCAGGUGGAAGUGCAGUAAUGUACGCAGCUGAGCGAUACUAAUAGGCCGAGGGCUUGAUCAA
rnacentral:rRNA from 1 species